rnacentral:rRNA from 1 species
GUGGCGCACGGCUGAGUAACACGUGGGAAUCUGUCUUCUAGUGGGGGAUAACGUCUCGAAAGAGACGCUAAUCCCGCAUACGCUCGGUAACGAGGAAAGGCGCAAGUCGCUAGAAGAGGAGCCUGCGGCCCAUCAGGUAGUUGGAGAGGUAAUGGCUCACCAAGCCUAUGACGGGUAGCUGGUCUGUGAGGACAACCAGCCAGACUGGGACUGAGAACGGCCCAGACUCCUACGGGAGGCAGCAGUAAGGAAUUUUCGUCAAUGGGGGAAACCCUGAACGAGCAACGCCGCGUGGAGGAUGACGGUCUUCGGAUUGUAAACUCCUUUUGUGAGGGACGAUAAUGACGGUACCUCGCGAAUAAGCCCCGGCUAACUCUGUGCCAGCAGCCGCGGUAAUACAGAGGGGGCAAGCGUUGUCCGGAGUUACUGGGCGUAAAGCGCACGUAGGCGGUCCUGCAAGUGGUGUGUGAAACCAAUCAGCUUAACUGAUUGACGCCAUGCCAAACUGCAGGACUCGAGUCAUGGAGAGGUAGUUCGAAUUGCUGGUGUAGUGGUGAAAUGCGUAGAUAUCAGCAGGAAGACCAAGGGAGAAAUCAGACUACUGGCCAUGAACUGACGCUCAGGUGCGAAAGCGUGGGGAGCGAACUGGAUUAGAUACCCAGGUAGUCCACGCCGUAAACGAUGUAUGCUCGGUAUUUGGGCCUGUUAAGGGCUUGGGUACCUUAGGUAACCCGGUAAGCAUACCGCCUGGGAAGUACGAACGCAAGUUUAAAACUCAAAGGAAUUGACGGGGCCCCGCACAAGCAGC